GAUGGCCACACUGUCUCCUCCCGAGACUCAGCGAAGUUGAAGUGUUUGUGAUGAUGCAAUCUCCCCGCGGCUAGACGGAAAGACCCCAUGAACCUUUACUGCAGCUUUGCAUUGGACUUUGAACCGAUCUGUGUAGGAUAGGUGGGAGGCUUUGAAGCGAGGACGCCAGUUCUCGUGGAGCCGUCCUUGAAAUACCACCCUGGUUUGUUUGAGGUUCUAACCUAGGCCCGUGAAUCCGGGUCGGGGACAGUGCAUGGUAGGCAGUUUGACUGGGGCGGUCUCCUCCCAAAGUGUAACGGAGGAGUUCGAAGGUACGCUUGGUACGGUCGGACAUCGUACCUAAAGUGCAAUGGCAAAAGCGUGCUUAACUGCGAGACCGACAAGUCGAGCAGGUGCGAAAGCAGG
rnacentral:rRNA from 1 species